rnacentral:tRNA from 1 species
UUAGGGAGACCGGCUGGCUGUAGACCCAACCCAAAAAAAGGUCACAGACCAGACAUCCCAAGGUCGUUCGAGGCAAAAAAGUUGAGCUUUCAAACUAUUAGUGGUUCGGUGCAUGGGCUAUUAGCUCAGGUGGUUAGAGCGCACCCCUGAUAAGGGUGAGGUCCCUGGUUCGAGUCCAGGAUGGCCCACCUCUAAAAAAGGGAGUGGGUAGAGUUCAGCAAAGAACAAGCCAAGCCAACCCGAGGAAUUUUGGGAAAACUGAAACAUCAGCACCGAUGCUUGCGAAAAACUAAGCAAGUAAGACUGCUGGAUGUUAAGUCCAGUAAGAACCUUGAAAACUGCAUAGCAAUAGGAAACAAAGCCGAGUCGAGCGUGAAAACCUGAAGUUCAGGAAAAGAAGCUCGGCUCAGUGUCCAAGAAAACCAAUGU